rnacentral:rRNA from 1 species
GACGAACGCUGGCGGCGUGCUUAACACAUGCAAGUCGAACGGAAAGGCCCUGCUUUUGUGGGGUGCUCGAGUGGCGAACGGGUGAGUAACACGUGAGUAACCUGCCCUUGACUUUGGGAUAACUUCAGGAAACUGGGGCUAAUACCGGAUAGGAGCUCCUGCUGCAUGGUGGGGGUUGGAAAGUUUCGGCGGUUGGGGAUGGACUCGCGGCUUAUCAGCUUGUUGGUGGGGUAGUGGCUUACCAAGGCUUUGACGGGUAGCCGGCCUGAGAGGGUGACCGGCCACAUUGGGACUGCGAUACGGCCCAGACUCCUACGGGAGGCAGCAGUGGGGAAUAUUGCACAAUGGGCGGACGCCUGAUGCAGCAACGCCGCGUGCGGGAUGACGGCCUUCGGGUUGUAAACCGCUUUCGCCUGUGCCGAAGCGUGCGUGACGGUAAUGGGUAAAGAAGCACCGGCUAACUACGUG